CCUACGGGAGGCAGCAGUGAGGAAUAUUGGUCAAUGGUCGGAAGGCUGAACCAGCCAAGCCGCGUGAGGGACGAAGGUGCCAAGUAUUGUAAACCUCUUUUGUCAAGGGACAAAAUCAGGCACGCGUGCCUGGCCGAGGGUACUUGAAGAAAAAGCAUCGGCUAACUCCGUGCCAGCAGCCGCGGUAAUACGGAGGAUGCGAGCGUUAUCCGGAUUUAUUGGGUUUAAAGGGUGCGUAGGCGGGCUGUUAAGUCAGCGGUAAAAGCCCGGGGCUCAACCCCGGCGAGCCGUUGAAACUGGCUGUCUUGAGAUGUAGAGAGGUAUGCGGAAUGCGCAGUGUAGCGGUGAAAUGCUUAGAUAUUGCGCAGAACUCCGAUUGCGAAGGCAGCAUACCGGCGGCGAUCUGACGCUGAGGCACGAAAGCGUGGGUAUCGAACAGGAUUAGAUACCCUAGUAGUC
rnacentral:rRNA from 1 species